GCGAAAGCUAAUUGCAUUUACUUAAAAUUAAAUUUUAAGAGAGUGUCCCUUUUUAUUUAUAAAAAAUUGGAUGGCUUUUAAGAGAGUGGUCCCUUUUUAUUUUAAAAAUUUGAAAACCUUUUAAAGAGGAAGGGUCCAUUUUUUAUGUAGUUACUACUUUGUAGUUUAAAAUUCUAGAUAGAAUUAUGAUGAUGACAUUAUCUAUCUAUUAGUCUUGACCAAAUUACGUGCCAGCAGUCGCGGUAAUACGUAAAAGACAAGUGUUAUUCAUCUUUAUUGGGUUUAAAGAGUACCAAGACGGUUAAUAAAGCCCAAAAUACAUGAACACAGGGGACACAUUAACUAGAGUUAUAUGAAAGGAAGCACUAAAGUACUGUUGAGUGUAGAGAUAAAAUUCUAUCAUACCAGAUAAAGGCACAGAUUUAUGCGAAGGCAUCUUCUUAUGUAAUAACUGACGUUGUAGGACGAAGGCUUUUUAAGUGAAGAGGAUUAGAGACCCUUGUAAUCUAAGCAGAAAAUGAUGAAUGUCAUAGGUUUAAUAUAUUAUUGGGUCUAUAAAUGAAAGUGUAAGCAUUCCACCUCAAGAGUAAUUUGGCAACAUUGGAACUGAAAUCAUUAGACCGUUUCUGAAACCAGUAGUGAAGUAUGUUGUUUAAUUAGAUGAUACACAAAAAACCUUACCACAAUUUGAAUAUAUAUCUUUAAAGAUAUUUACAAGCGUUGCACGGCUGUCUUCAGUUAAUGUCGUGAGAUUUUGGUUAGUUCCAUAAAAUUAACGUAAACCCUCGUUUUAUUUAGAAAUAAAAUUUAGAUCUGUUUCAAU
rnacentral:rRNA from 1 species